GGACUACCAGGGUAUCUAAUCCCAUUCGCUACCCACGCUUUCGUGUUUCAGCGUCAGGAGUGCGCCAGUGAACUGCCUUCGCAUUUGGUGUUCCCCAUAAUAUCAACGGAUUUCACCCCUACACUAUGAGUUCCGUUCACCUCUCGCAUCCUCUAGUUGUACCGUUUCUUUUGCAUUUUCCCGGUUGAGCCGGGAGCUUUAACAAAAGACUAAUACAACCGCCUACACACCCUUUACGCCCAAUGAUUCCGGAUAACGCUUGGGGCACUCGUAUUACCGCGGCUGCUGGCAC
rnacentral:rRNA from 1 species